rnacentral:rRNA from 1 species
GCUGUGAGCUCGAUGAGUAGGGCGGGACACGUGGUAUCCUGUCUGAAUAUGGGGGGACCAUCCUCCAAGGCUAAAUACUCCUGACUGACCGAUAGUGAACCAGUACCGUGAGGGAAAGGCGAAAAGAACCCCGGCGAGGGGAGUGAAAAAGAACCUGAAACCGUGUACGUACAAGCAGUGGGAGCACAGGUUUACCUGUGUGACUGCGUACCUUUUGUAUAAUGGGUCAGCGACUUAUAUUCUGUAGCAAGGUUAACCGUAUAGGGGAGCCGAAGGGAAACCGAGUCUUAACCGGGCGUUAAGUUGCAGGGUAUAGACCCGAAACCCGGUGAUCUAGCCAUGGGCAGGUUGAAGGUUGGGUAACACUAACUGGAGGACCGAACCGACUAAUGUUGAAAAAUUAGCGGAUGACCUGUGGCUGGGGGUGAAAGGCCAAUCAAACCGGGAGAUAGCUGGUUCUCCCCGAAAGCUAUUUAGGUAGCGCCUCGUGAAUUCAUCUCCGGGGGUAGAGCACUGUUUCGGCUAGGGGGCCAUCCCGGCUUACCAACCCGAUGCAAACUGCGAAUACCGGAGAAUGUUAUCACGGGAGACACACGGCGGGUGCUAACGUCCGUCGUGAAGAGGGAAACAACCCAGACCGCCAGCUAAGGUCCCAAAGUCAUGGUUAAGUGGGAAACGAUGUGGGAAGGCCCAGACAGCCAGGAUGUUGGCUUAGAAGCAGCCAUCAUUUAAAGAAAGCGUAAUAGCUCACUGGUCGAGUCGGCCUGCGCGGAAGAUGUAACGGGGCUAAACCAU